rnacentral:tRNA from 1 species
CGGGGUGUAGCGCAGUUGGCUAGCGCACCUGGUUUGGGACCAGGGGGUCGGAGGUUCGAGUCCUCUCACCCCGACCA